rnacentral:tRNA from 1 species
UGGGAUGCGGCUCAGUGGCAGAGCGCUUGCCUCGCAUGCUCGAGGCCCUGGGUUCCAUCCCCAGCACCACAA